rnacentral:rRNA from 1 species
AGAGUUUGAUCCUGGCUCAGGAUGAACGCUAGCGGCAGGCUUAACACAUGCAAGUCGAGGGGCAGCAUAAUGGAUAGUCAAUAUCUAUGGUGGCGACCGGCGCACGGGUGCGUAACGCGUAUGCGAACCUACCUUUAACAGGGGGGAUAACACUGAGAAAUUGGUACUAGUACCCCAUAAUAUCAUAGAAGGCAUCGUUUUAAUGGUUGAAAAUUCCGAUGGUUAGAGAUGGGCAUGCGUUGUAUUA